CCUGCGGAGGGAUCAUUACUGAGUUUACGCUCUACAACCCUUUGUGAACAUACCUAUAACUGUUGCUUCGGCGGGUAGGGUCUCCGCGACACUCCCGGCCUCCCGCCCCCGGGCGGGUCGGCGCCCGCCGGAGGAUAACCAAACUCUGAUGUAACGACGUUUCUUCUGAGUGGUACAAGCAAAUAAUCAAAACUUUUAACAACGGAUCUCUUGGUUCUGGCAUCGAUGAAGAACGCAGCGAAAUGCGAUAAGUAAUGUGAAUUGCAGAAUUCAGUGAAUCAUCGAAUCUUUGAACGCACAUUGCGCCCGCCAGCAUUCUGGCGGGCAUGCCUGUUCGAGCGUCAUUUCAACCCUCAAGCUCUGCUUGGUGUUGGGGCCCUACAGCUGAUGUAGGCCCUCAAAGGUAGUGGCGGACCCUCCCGGAGCCUCCUUUGCGUAGUAACUUUACGUCUCGCACUGGGAUCCGGAGGGACUCUUGCCGUAAAACCCCCAAUUCUCCAAAGGUUGACCUCGGAUCAGGUAGGAAUACCCGCUGAACUUAAGCAUAUCAAUAA
rnacentral:rRNA from 1 species